rnacentral:rRNA from 1 species
CCAGACUCCUACGGGAGGCAGCAGUGGGGGAUAUUGCACAAUGGGGGGAACCCUGAUGCAGCGACGCCGCGUGAGGGAAGACGGCCUUCGGGUUGUAAACCUCUGUCGCAGGGGACGAAGGAGAUGACGGUACCCUGUGAGGAAGCCACGGCUAACUACGUGCCAGCAGCCGCGGUAAUACGUAGGUGGCAAGCGUUGUCCGGAAUUACUGGGUGUAAAGGGAGCGUAGGCGGGAAGCCAAGUCAGCUGUGAAAACUACGGGCUUAACCUGUAGACUGCAGUUGAAACUGGCUUUCUUGAGUGAAGUAGAGGUUGGCGGAAUUCCGAGUGUAGCGGUGAAAUGCGUAGAUAUUCGGAGGAACACCGGUGGCGAAGGCGGCCAACUGGGCUUUAACUGACGCUGAGGCUCGAAAGUGUGGGGAGCAAACAGGAUUAGAUACCCGAGUA